GCAAUUAUCAUGAACUCUAAUUUACACAUUAGCAUUACUUCAAAAAACUUGUCAAUCUGAUCACAUUUACACAUGAACUAUACUCCAUUAAUACAACGUUGGAAAAUCGAUAUAAUACCAUUCCAAAUUUCUGUAUAGACAGAUACGAUAGACUUGGCCUUCCACAAGGAAACAAAAAAGAACAAAUCGGCUAAAUAUUAAACUUUGCACUUUUAAAAACCGUUGGUUUUUCUCAUCUCAAAAGUUAGCUAAAAAGCGAGGUGGCUAUUGCAUCCGUCUCCCGACGAAACAAAUCCCCUGCUGGCCUCAAUUAGUAAACAUCAGGAAGCAUGUAUCCCAUUAAUCCGGCGGAAGAAAGACUGAGCAUCGGCUGCCGACGAGGGUAAGUGGAAGAAGAGGAAUAAGGAGAGUAGUAGUAAUCACCAUCAUCAUCAUCGUGGAGGCGAACAGGCCAAGUCGGAGUAAGGAGAAUCUCUAGACACGAAGAAAGACAGAACAAGAAGGUUGUGAUGGGUAUCAUUUUUGCUCUUAAUUUGCUUUCUUCUUAUAUUGCACUAUAAAUAUACAAACAUUCAUUCAUUAUAAUUCAUUGUCUUUAUUUUCCUGCAGUUAAUUAUAGUUGUUUUAUCCACGCACGCACGCCACCCUCCUCGAUUGCUUCUUUCCCUCUGACCCAAGCAACC
rnacentral:lncRNA from 1 species